AUUGAACGCUGGCGGCAGGCCUAACACAUGCAAGUCGAACGAGUGGCGGACGGGUGAGUAAUGUCUGGGAAACUGCCCGAUGGAGGGGGAUAACUACUGGAAACGGUAGCUAAUCCCCCAUCCCAUCUGAUAUGCCCAGAUGGGCUGAGCUAGUAGGUGGGGUAACGGCUCACCUAGGCGACGAUCCGUAGCUGGUCUGAGAGGAUGACCAGCCACACUGGAACGGAGACACGGUCCAGACUCCUACGGGAGGCAGCAGUGGGGAAUAUUGCACAAUGGGCGCAAGCCUGAUGCAGCCAUGCCGCGUGUAUGAAGAAGGCCUUCGGGUUGUAAAGUACUUUCAGCGAGGAGGCGUUACUCGCAGAAGAAGCACCGGCUAACUCCGUGCCAGCAGCCGCGGCAAUAC
rnacentral:rRNA from 1 species